rnacentral:rRNA from 1 species
AUGUCGUCGUCGUCGGCGGCGCCGAUCGGCCUGUCGUGGGCGCCCCAGCUGCCAUCCCUUGCGGCGGCCGGCGGCAGCAAGAAGGGCUCGGCGCCGACACCGAGCAUUGACGCGCAGGAGUCCCUCUGGAAGCCCAGCAACGAGCUCGUGGACGGGCUCUACGUGCCCCCGAGGGACCCCAGGAAGGUCAACAAGAUGGCGAGGAAGAACGUCAAGGACACCACCGGCAAGGGCUGGUUCGACAUGCCGGCGCCGAGCAUCACUCCCGAGUUGAAGAAAGACCUUGAGAUUUUGCAGCUGAGGCAUGUAAUGGACCCUAAAAGGCAUUUCAAGAGGUCUGGUAAAUCCAAGGCUCUUCCGAAGUAUUUCCAAGUUGGAACGGUUAUUGAGCCUGCAUCUGAGUUCUACUCAAGUAGGUUGACAAAGCAUGAACGGAAGCAGACCUUGGUUGAUGAGCUGUUAUCUGACCAAAAACUCAAGAACUACAGGAUGCGUAAGGUAAGGGAAAUUCAGGUGGCCCGGACACCCGGAGGCAACCAGAAGUGGAAGAACAAGGGCAAGCAAACGUUCAAAAGGGCCAAGGACAGGCGGAAAUAG